rnacentral:lncRNA from 1 species
CGGGUAUGUAAAUAAUCCAUCAAGCAAAAAGACACACAACUUUCUUGUUUAAAACCCGGUUUCUUCAAGUUAAUCGACAAGCAAACCAUUUCAAUUUAUCUGUUUAUAAUAACUUGUUGAUCCAACAGUUUUGAAAAACCAGAGGUCCUCAUAUUAUCUAUCAGACUAGUAUACAUCUUUCCAUUCUUUUUAACUGUAAAACAUGAAUUCAGCCAGCAGCCGACGAGCGUCCAUGGAUG